ACGAGUCGCCGGAUCUCCCCGUGCCGCUGGAUCCGGUGACCCCGUUCUCCUCGCCGGCGGAUCCGGCAGCCCAGA
rnacentral:pre_miRNA from 1 species